rnacentral:rRNA from 1 species
UACGUAGGAGGCGAGCGUUGUCCGGAGUUACUGGGCGUAAAGGGUGCGCAGGCGGCCCGACAGGUGUGUGGUGAAAUCUCCCGGCUUACCUGGGAGGGGGCCACGCAAACCGUUGGGCUUGAGGCUCGGGGAGGGGCGUGGAAUUCCGGGUGGAGCGGUGAAAUGCGCAGAUAUCAGGAGGAACACCGGUGGCGAAGGCGGGUCUCUGGGCCGAUACUGACGCUGAGGAGCGAAAGCGUGGGGAGCGAACAGG